CCCCCCGACCCAAACCAGAGUAUUAUUCUAUCCCGAGAUUCCGCUUUUUCUGUCGCUUCCCUCGUCGAACAAACAAACCCGUGCUUGUCGACACUGUGCAACGGGUAGAUUUGUGCGCGGCGUACGGUAAAUAAAAAAGCACCGUGGUAAACUUCUCAAGUGGAAACACAGCGCUCGCCGACACUGACACUGACGGAUUGACCGUCAGCUGAAUCCCAUUAGCGUGAAGCCAGAGCUUGAGUGAAAUGUCGAACUCCAGUAUGCUGCAAUUUUUUCAAGUCAGAUUCCGUAUAGAACGGUGCACUUGGUCGUAUUUCCAGUGAAAUAUCCUUCAUUCCAGAGGGGAACUACGUAGCAUUGUACAGUAGCAAAAUAUUUAUUCCGUCUUGCGCACAUGAUGGUAGGCAGGCAUGGCACGGUUCUCAACCUGAAAUAACUUAUCCACCGGAGCACUACUUACAGUAGCUAACCAACAGUUUUGUUAUCUGCUGCAUUAGUUGGUCCCUCCCUCCAUCUCUUCAUUCAAUUUCAAACCCCUUGUACUUUUGAACCGGAGGAUAUCCAUGAUCAAUUCAAAGCCCAGCCGUUCUCCUUAAUCUUUGACACGGCCACACGGGAGGCCCGCUGCCCCCUCUGUCUCUGUCUGUCUCCUCCUUCAGUAUUUUUUUUUUUUGCGAAUAUGUCUCCUCCUUGAGUUAAUGGCGUGCGUCGGUGCAUCGGUGCGUCCAAACUCUGUCUCGGACUUUUCAUGUCAGCAUUCAAUGCUAGAGCACCAACUGGUGGCACUCAUGCAUUCAGUGAGGUCUACUCCAGUCUUCAUUAUUGAUGGAGAUAAUAUUAUUGUUCACAACUUCAGAUACUCACAACCUUUAUGUGCCAACAAAUCAUGUGAUGGAUCAAUCUGUCCUGUUAUCUGAAAUCCAACGGCUGAGGAUGUGAGUCUGUUACCAAAGGCAUACUUUUUUUUCUAACAUAGGGAACUUUUGCACAUACUAAGAAUACUAGGCCCGUAAGGGUUCGAUUUUUCUGGUUUUUUCAAAAAAAAUUUACUCCUACUGACUGAGCGACACGUGUGCACGGUGGCUUUCCUAAAGUGGUUGAUCACUUGGGUUGUGCCUGUUUCUUCUAGAGGUGCAUGGGCUUCUCUUGUCUCAUGUGUACCAUGUGAAAAGAUGGUUUGAUAGCAUGGGCUGAUUUUGUCUCAUGUGAGAAAAAUAUAUUAGCUGCAUGGGCUGUUGUAUGGGCUGGUGUGCGUGUGCUGCUGCAUGGCUCAUGCAUGCAUGCAUGUGUCCACGUUUGCAUGUUUGUAGUUUCACGUUUGCACACAUUUGUGUUCUAGGUCCUUCUUUGCUUGCCUAUAAGUAGCUUCUUUUUGUGUUCUUCUCUCCUGUGUACUUCUUGUUUGCUUGGUCUCUGUUAUGGUUCUUGUUGUUGCACAUGGUUCUCAGCGCGUUCCUUCGACGUCCUUGGGCUCUUCUUCUUCCGUUGGUGCUUCUGAUGGGAGGUUGGCUGUUGAGGGUGGUUCUAAUCUUGGUUCGAGGGUUGAUGAGGCGUGGCGGCGACACGAGGAACGACCGCCGUGGGAAAUGAUUUAGCAUGCUUCUUUUUGUUCUUGUUAUUUGCCAGGAUUCUUUUUUAUAUACCCCUAGGCUCUAGAAUAGUAGAUCCUGCUGUUCCUAUUUAUCUCUUAAUCUGGUUUCAGUGUGUUGGUGUUGUUUUGUGAUUUCUUGUUUUUAUUGUUUGUUGUGGUUAUUUGCAGGUCCUCUGAUUUCUCCAUCUUAUUUGGAUCCAGACAAAGCUCACUCUUGCCGGCAGGAAGGUGUCCUGUUUACUUCAUGAUGGUGGACGUGCUAUGUAUUGUUUAUUUAACUUUCUGUUUGGUUUGUCAUUUAUUCCUUUUUUGUUCUUUUACACUUACGUCGAUGGCAUGUCUCUUGAUUUGCCUCCGAUUUUAUGAUAUCCUUGACAAGAAGCUAAAUGAAGAGGGCCUAAAGCUAAGGUAUAUUUUGGUUUCACUUUAGAAGCAAAAUAAUAAUAGUUUUGUAGUCUCCCAAAUACUUUGUCCAUGAGAAUCAGUGAUCUUGAUUUACAUUGUUGUUCUAAUGGACUAAUUCUAUGGGAGAGAUAAACAAUAAAGACAGGCAUCCUGUAGUGCUUCUGCCAAAAUGCCAUGAAGGUUUUACUUCAUCUUUUGGGAGCAUAAUGAAACAAAAGGUAUAACCAGUUGCACUAGCAAGUAGUAAUCUGAAAAGAUAUCUAGAUGCUCUCAUGGCAAGUCAAACGUACGCUGCCCUGUUAUCCUUUUUCAAUAAUAAAAAAUGCAUGCAGACGUAUUUUGGAAAGCCCAUUUUGAUCAGGUUUGCUUCUUGUGUUUUUGACUGGUUUACUUGUUUGCAUAGAGAGGGACAAGGAAUUAAGAGAAAGAGAAGGCUCGGCACCACUAUUUGCAUGUCAAAUCUGAAGUGGGGAGCUGCAUCAAGUAUCUGGAGAAGAAAGAGGAGCAUACCUACAGUAAUACAAUGCCCAGUCUUCUAUAUUAGGCAGCAAAUGGUUCUGAUGCAGAAAUACCCACAUUUGAACCCUGAGGCUGAGAUGAUCACUUUGUCAUUAGUUAGGAUCCAAACCAAUUGUUUAUACUGUUCAUGUUUAUCUUUUAUAUACACAGUUACUUUCUACUAAUUUUACUUCAAAUUAAUUGCAGCUUAUUCAAA